rnacentral:rRNA from 1 species
ACCGAAUAGGGGAGCCGGAGGGAAACCGAGUCUUAACCGGGCGUUAAGUUGCAGGGUAUAGACCCGAAACCCGGUGAUCUAGCCAUGGGCAGGUUGAAGGUUGGGUAACACUAACUGGAGGACCGAACCGACUAAUGUUGAAAAAUUAGCGGAUGACCUGUGGCUGGGGGUGAAAGGCCAAUCAAACCGGGAGAUAGCUGGUUCUCCCCGAAAGCUAUUUAGGUAGCGCCUCGUGAAUUCAUCUCCGGGGGUAGAGCACUGUUUCGGCUAGGGGGCCAUCCCGGCUUACCAACCCGAUGCAAACUGCGAAUACCGGAGAAUGUUAUCACGGGAGACACACGGCGGGUGCUAACGUCCGUCGUGAAGAGGGAAACAACCCAGACCGCCAGCUAAGGUCCCAAAGUCAUGGUUAAGUGGGAAACGAUGUGGGAAGGCCCAGACAGCCAGGAUGUUGGCUUAGAAGCAGCCAUCAUUUAAAGAAAGCGUAAUAGCUCACUGGUCGAGUCGGCCUGCGCGGAAGAUGUAACGGGGCUAAACCAUGCACCGAAGCUGCGGCAGCGACACUGUGUGUUGUUGGGUAGGGGAGCGUUCUGUAAGCCUGUGAAGGUGUGUCGUGAGGCAUGCUGGAGGUAUCAGAAGUGCGAAUGCUGACAUAAGUAACGAUAAAGCGGGUGAAAAGCCCGCUCGCCGGAAGACCAAGGGUUCCUGUCCAACGUUAAUCGGGGCAGGGUGAGUCGACCCCUAAGGCGAGGCCGAAAGGCGUAGUCGAUGGGAAACGGGUUAAUAUUCCCGUACUUGGUGUUACUGCGAAGGGGGGACGGAGAAGGCUAUGUUGGCCGGGCGACGGUUGUCCCGGUUUAAGCGUGUAGGUGUGUGUUCCAGGUAAAUCCGGUUCACUUUAACACUGAGGCGUGACGACGAGGCACUACGGUGCUGAAGCAACAAAUGCCCUGCUUCCAGGAAAAGCCUCUAAGCAUCAGGUAACAUCAAAUCGUACCCCAAACCGACACAGGUGGUCAGGUAGAGAAUACCAAGGCGCUUGAGAGAACUCGGGUGAAGGAACUAGGCAAAAUGGUGCCGUAACUUCGGGAGAAGGCACGCUGACACGUAGGUGAAGUGAUUUACUCAUGGAGCUGAAGUCAGUCGAAGAUACCAGCUGGCUGCAACUGUUUAUUAAAAACACAGCACUGUGCAAACACGAAAGUGGACGUAUACGGUGUGACGCCUGCCCGGUGCCGGAAGGUUAAUUGAUGGGGUCAGCGCAAGCGAAGCUCCUGAUCGAAGCCCCGGUAAACGGCGGCCGUAACUAUAACGGUCCUAAGGUAGCGAAAUUCCUUGUCGGGUAAGUUCCGACCUGCACGAAUGGCGUAAUGAUGGCCAGGCUGUCUCCACCCGAGACUCAGUGAAAUUGAACUCGCUGUGAAGAUGCAGUGUACCCGCGGCAAGACGGAAAGACCCCGUGAACCUUUACUAUAGCUUGACACUGAACAUUGAGCCUUGAUGUGUAGGAUAGGUGGGAGGCUUUGAAGUGUGGACGCCAGUCUGCAUGGAGCCGACCUUGAAAUACCACCCUUUAAUGUUUGAUGUUCUAACGUGGACCCGUUACCCGGGUUGCGGACAGUGUCUGGUGGGUAGUUUGACUGGGGCGGUCUCCUCCUAAAGAGUAACGGAGGAGCACGAAGGUUGGCUAAUCCUGGUCGGACAUCAGGAGGUUAGUGCAAUGGCAUAAGCCAGCUUGACUGCGAGCGUGACGGCGCGAGCAGGUGCGAAAGCAGGUCAUAGUGAUCCGGUGGUUCUGAAUGGAAGGGCCAUCGCUCAACGGAUAAAAGGUACUCCGGGGAUAACAGGCUGAUACCGCCCAAGAGUUCAUAUCGACGGCGGUGUUUGGCACCUCGAUGUCGGCUCAUCACAUCCUGGGGCUGAAGUAGGUCCCAAGGGUAUGGCUGUUCGCCAUUUAAAGUGGUACGCGAGCUGGGUUUAGAACGUCGUGAGACAGUUCGGUCCCUAUCUGCCGUGGGCGCUGGAGAACUGAGGGGGGCUGCUCCUAGUACGAGAGGACCGGAGUGGACGCAUCACUGGUGUUCGGGUUGUCAUGCCAAUGGCACUGCCCGGUAGCUAAAUGCGGAAGAGAUAAGUGCUGAAAGCAUCUAAGCACGAAACUUGCCCCGA